UGACUACUCAACUCCUCACCAGUCAGUGGCUGAGGCCUUUCUGUUCCCCUUCCUAGGACUCUCAGGAUUCCUUCCAAAGAAAGGGAAUCAACUCCAAUCCUGGGCUGGAUCUGCUCCCGGGGACACCCUGUAACAAGAUCUGCAUGCCAUUUUGAUAAAGCCGGAACCAACCUGGAAGCAGGUUCCUCUCUGACACAGUUCCACCGAGACCACAGUCCCACAAUACUUUGCACAGCCAGAAGAGGCCCAAGCCCAGCUGGCCUCACAGAAAUGGUGACACAGGGGCUUGGACUUCGGCCAGUUCUCCUGUAGGAAGAAGCCCAGACUACCAAGCUUACACAGUCCUGCAGAGAGCCACACUGUGGGAAGCAGAGACGCACCAUUUCUCCCCAGUGACCUCAGACCAGCUAGUCCACAAGAGCCCCGUAACAGGCCAAGGAUACCCAAGCGAGUCAGCUGGGAGCAAAGGAGUCACCCAGCCAAGCCCGACUUGCGUGGCCGAUUGUCUCUGUAUGUGGUCCUGGCUCUCCUGGCUCUCCGUAUACAGGUCAACUGGCCUCGAACUCACAGAGAUCCUACUGCCUCCACCCUCUAGUGUUGGGUUAGAGGUGUGUGCCACCAUGCCUAGCCCAUCCUUGCAUUUAUUAGGAGCUUAGCUUCUGGCUGGAUUACCCAUCUCAGAGUGGAGUAAAGACGGCAGCUUGUUCUCUACUGUCAGGCAAGGACUUUAGUGGUUAGCACAAUUGCCCCCCCCCCCCCCAGCACCAGUCUUCUGGAAGAUUCUUACCACACCCUAAAGAGUCCACAGGAACCCUGCCGUGUUUAAAUCGCUGACAAGGUGGGUGUGGAGAAAGCAACUAUAACGAAGAAGAAACCUUUCUUCUCUACUAAGAAAGGGAAACCUUAGGCUCUUGCUAAGGGAAGACAACAGGGAAGGAGCCCAGGGAGCAGGCCCCCCCCCCCCGAAGAGUCACACAGGAUGUGGACACUGAUCAGACCUGAGCUAAGCUGGCCUGGCCUGGUCUUAGACUCUGCCUGUGUCAUCACGCCUGGGGCUGGAACCGCCCCACCCCCACCCACGAAGACCCUGGCGCCCUUUCCAGGAAAUGUACAGACCAGAGCAGGAAACGGUUGAGUUGCCUAUUCUUCUUUCCCCACAAAAUGGUUUUAUUAUUUUCAUUGAACAAAAACAUCCUAAUGCAUCGAGGAUGGGGAAGAGAAAGACACCCGGACCUUAAAAUAGACUCGAUAUGCCUCUACUCUUGGCUGGAGCACCCUUGCCUGUCUCCUGGGAAAGAAUAUCUGAAAAACCAGAACUCCACCCAUUCUGCCCUCUAGGUUUGAGCUGUUGAAACUCCCUGGUGGCAAAAGGGUGCUCUAGAUCAGGGGAGGCUGCCCUCGAAACAGCCUUGUGGCUGCUCUGGGGGGCCCUGUGGUUUCUCUUUAGCCAGCUUGAGUAAAUGACCCAACCCCUCUGCCACUCUGUGUAACAUGGGGGAAGAUGAGAGAGUUCUAUCUCCCCUCACCCUCUCCCUUUACCAUAGACUGUUUCCCACAAGACUGAAGACACGAGUGCUACAGAUGUGUGUAAAGUUGGUUCCAACACUGCAUCCCCACUGUGAUAACAUGGAUAUAGUGAUGGUACCACACUCUGAUGGCGUCACAGUUUAUAUAUGUGUCUGUAUGCAUAAUAUAAUGUGUGUGCAUAUAAUAUAUGUAUGCAUAUACACAUAUCUAUCUAUCUAUCUAUCUAUCUAUCUACCUAUCUAUAAUAUGCAUAUGCUC
ensembl:lincRNA